GGAUCAGUGGUGAAGCGGUAACACGCGUUUUUCGGGUGAACGAGAUCCCGGGUUCGAAUCCCGGCUGGUCCC
rfam:Absidia glauca strain CBS 101.48 genome assembly, contig: contig_3585